AGUGCCGUAAUCUUGGCUCACGGCAACCUCUGACUCCUGGAUUCAAGCGAUUCUCGUGCCUCUGCUUCUCGAGUAGCUGGGACUACAGCUCAAAAAAUGACAAGCUUGCCAUUAAUGCGUGCCAUUCUGGGAAUAAACAGGAAGUUAACAGAGUUUUCCUUUAUACUGAGGAAAACUAAGAAAUAAGGAACUACAAGAAAUCAGUUUUACCUCUUCAGAAUAAAAAUUGCUGACUCAUCCUGAGUAAAAGGAGAUUUGGCUUUUAAUUCUAACUUACUAACUGUGGUUUCAACUGUCUAAGGUUUAUACUUACCAGGAAGAUGACGAAUAUCCUUAAUAAAAUGUUUUCUUUUCGGCUGCAUCACAA
rnacentral:lncRNA from 10 species